rnacentral:rRNA from 1 species
CCCUUAGAUGUUCUGGGCAGCACGCGCGCUACAAUGGUCUUCGCAAACGGAUGCAUUCUCGAAGGAGAAUGCCAAUCUUGGAAUCUAUGCCUUGGUCGGGACAGUUGCUUGCAAUUUUUCGACUCGAACCAGGAAUUCCUUGUAAUCGUGAUUCAUCACAUCACGAUGAAUACGUCCCUGCCCUUUGUACACACCGCCCGUCGCUCCUACCGAUUGGGUGUGCUGGUGAAAUGUUCGGAUCGGCCGUUUGUCGCGGUUUCCGCGUCAUGUGGCUGAGAAGUUCAUUAAACCCUCCCACCGAGAGGAAGGAGAAGUCGUAACA